rnacentral:lncRNA from 1 species
AUAAUUAAUUCUUUUUAAAAUUAGAAGCAUCAAUAAUAAUACCUUUAAUUUUUGUAUUGCUUCAAUAUGCUUUUUUUUCAUUUAAAUUGACAAAUCUUAUAUAAUACUUUAUAUAAUAGAUUUGUUAUAUGAGUAUAAUAAAGAAUCUAUAUACAAUAAAAUAUACAAGCUCCUAAAAUCCUAUAUACUUUUGUUAAAAAGCCACAUGUAUCUUUCAUCUUUCUAAUUACAUCAAUUUUGCUUGGAUUCAAUUUUUUUCAAUAAAAUCCAUUCAAAUGUCUAAAAAAGACAACUUUUUAUAUUCCAAAUGCAGAUUUUGCUCCCAAAACUAUAAGAUGAACUCAGUUAAGUUAAAAUCUUUUCACAAUCUUGUAUAUAAUCCACAACAUAUUUACAAU